AUUGAACGCUGGCGGCAUGCUUUACACAUGCAAGUCGAACGGUAACAGGCCUUCGGGCGCUGACGAGUGGCGAACGGGUGAGUAAUGCAUCGGAACGUGCCCAGUCGUGGGGGAUAACGCAGCGAAAGCUGUGCUAAUACCGCAUACGAUCUGCGGAUGAAAGCGGGGGACCUUCGGGCCUCGCGCGAUUGGAGCGGCCGAUGUCAGAUUAGGUAGUUGGUGGGGUAAAGGCCCACCAAGCCGACGAUCUGUAGCUGGUCUGAGAGGACGACCAGCCACACUGGGACUGAGACACGGCCCAGACUCCUACGGGAGGCAGCAGUGGGGGAAUUUUGGACAAUGGGCGCAAGCCUGAUCCAGCAAUGCCGCGUGCAGGAAGAAGGCCUCGG
rnacentral:rRNA from 1 species